rnacentral:lncRNA from 1 species
CGACGCCCCCACCCCUCGCCGCUGGCGACAGGUGUCUCUCGGUGACCAAAACGCGGCUCUCAGCGCGCGGAGUCGUGCGCCUCGCGGAGGCCCUGGCGAGGUUCCUACGGCAACCGCAAGCCGCUCGCAGCGUCUCCAGAGUGACGAGGCGCGAACGAAGACCCGGAGCCCGGAUUCAGGAGUCACAGAGCGAGGCUGGAGAGAGACCGCGGCUGGCCAAACGAGGAGGGGAGAGGCUGGGCCACCCUUCGUCCUUGCGCUGGCAUUCCGAGGACUUCCGGCAAACACCACUCCCCAGCCCUGACGGUGGCCACAAGCCGCUGCUUGAAAACACCCCUGGGGAUUCAUUCUCAGCUUUCCAGAAAAGGUGAAAAAGACCAGGCACACAUCUCUUGCCCACAGGGCACUCAGGCUGCUUGAGUCUCCCCUGCAUCCACGCACUGAGCAUUCAUGUGAUGGAACAUCAGUCCUGGCUGUCUGCCUGUGAGGACACAGCAGGGUAACCAGGGAGAGGCGUGGAACAGGACGUGCGUUCUGGAGGUCUGCACAGUCGGAGAGAGCCGUGAGAAAGGAUGGCCACAUUUAUUGAGCGCCUACCAUGAUCUGUGUAUUUCUUGUGCAUCCACCUCACUUAAUCUACCCCUUGGGAAUGGAGGACGUUAGGGUCCUCAAUUUACAGACAGAUUAAAUAAAAACUUGUUCAAGGUCAAGUAGCUCCUAGGUGCUUUUGAGCCUAGGUUAGCCUGACUCCUCAUCCCA